GACGAACGCUGGCGGCGUGCUUAACACAUGCGAGUCGAACGGAAAGGCCCUGCUUUUGUGGGGUGCUCGAGUGGCGAACGGGUGAGUAACACGUGAGUAACCUGCCCUUGACUUUGGGAUAACUUCAGGAAACUGGGGCUAAUACCGGAUAGGAGCUCCUGCUGCAUGGUGGGGGUUGGAAAGUUUCGGCGGUUGGGAUGGACUCGCGGCUUAUCAGCUUGUUGGUGGGGUAGUGGCUUACCAAGGCUUUGACGGGUAGCCGGCCUGAGAGGGUGACCGGCCACAUUGGGACUGAGAUACGGCCCAGACUCCUACGGGAGGCAGCAGUGGGGAAUAUUGCACAAUGGGCGGAAGCCUGAUGCAGCAACGCCGCGUGCGGGAUGACGGCCUUCGGGUUGUAAACCGCUUUCGCCUGUGACGAAGCGUGAGUGACGGUAAUGGGUAAAGAAGCACCGGCUAACUACGU
rnacentral:rRNA from 1 species